rnacentral:lncRNA from 1 species
UCCAGAUCUGACCUGCCCAUUUCCCCAUUCCCUGCCCACUCAGGAUUUACCUCCUGUUUGUCUUGUCUCCGUGAAGGGAUGACCCCUCACUCAAUUGUUCAGCCCACACUCAGAAGCUGUGAUUUCUUUCAUAUGGCAUGGAGGAGACAGUUCUUAAAUAGGUAUGGAGGACUAAAGAAGCGAGUAUAGAAGGCAGAAUGUAUUUACUACAGAAAAUGAGAAACGCUGAUGAAAAACAGAACUGGAUACCCUCUCCACUUUAACACAGGACAUGGAAGAAGGAAGGUACAGUCGCAUAGAAUGGCUGCCUACAAGACAGAGUCCUUCUUACAUCUGCCAGCACCCCAGUCGUCUGCUGAUCAGCACCCCAGUUGUCUGCUGACCACCACACCAUCAUGGAAACUCCCAUUGUUCUGAGAAAAGCACAGGAGGAAGUUGACAGCUACCACAUCAGUAUGCAACCAGGAUUCAUGAACACCGAAGAAUGCAAAUAGGAACAGUGAAAAACCCUUCAUGAUAGGAACAGCAUGUUGAAGGAGAGGCUCCUGGCUGGACCACAGAAGGGAGGCUGCUUGCUCAUGCCUCUAAUAGACCAGGAAGCAAAGUUGGAACACGUGAGGUUGGGGAAAGAAGCCUCAGCAUCACCUCUGCAGCUCACACAGGACUGGCAGUAGUUGACAAUCCCACCGGCAGAAUGGGUGCACCUCAUACCACCGAGUUCGAGAGCUCAGAAGGAUUCAACAGUAGGGGAUGGAAUCAUCUCUAGAUUAUUGGAUGCUUUAAAACAACCCUGAAAGCAUGACUCAUGGUAAGUCAGACU